UAGUCCACGCCGUAAACGAUGUCAACUAGCCGUUGGGAGGGUUAAACCUCAAAGUGGCGCAGCUAACGCGAUAAGUUGACCGCCUGGGGAGUACGCGCGCAAGCGUAAAACUCAAAGGAAUUGACGGGGCCCGCACAAGCGGUGGAGCAUGUGGUUUAAUUCGAUGCAACGCGAAGAACCUUACCUGGCCUUGACAUCCUGAGAACUUUCUAGAGAUAGAUUGGUGCCUUCGGGAACUCAGUGACAGGUGCUGCAUGGCUGUCGUCAGCUCGUGUCGUGAGAUGUUGGGUUAAGUCCCGCAACGAGCGCAACCCUUGUCCUUAGUUGCCAACGCGUAAUGGCGGGACUCUAGCAAGACUGCCGUUGUUAAGACGGAGGAAGGUGGGGACGACGUCAAGUCAUCAUGGCCCUUAUGGCCAGGGGCGACACACGUGCUACAAUGGGUCCAUACAAAGGGGUUCCAAGACCGCAA
rnacentral:rRNA from 1 species